GUUCACCCUAGAAGGACAUAAGCAAGAGGUUGGAGAGGGAGAGCUGACGAAGCUUGGCACCGUGGGGAUACACAAGUCACAAAGUUAUCCACUGAUCCCAAAAGGGCCUGUCAUGCUACAGAGCGACAUACGGAGAAAUUCAGAUGGCAAUAUUACAGAUGUUUAACAUGCAUAUAAAGGGAAAAGAAUUAGAAGAGGGAUUCCUAGUCCCAGAGCUCAACUGGCCAGCCUUGAGAAAAGGAGGCUCAGAGGGGAUCUCAUCGCCAUGUACCAGUACUUAAGGGGCAGCUACAAAGAAGACGGAGACUCCCUUUUUACACAGAGUCCCAUGGAGAGGACAAGGGGGAUGGACACAAGUUGCUCUUGGGGAGAUUCCGACUGGACACGAGAGGGAAAUGUCUCACAGUGAGGACAGUCACCAUGGGAAUAAUCUCCCCAGGGAAGGGGUUGGCUCGGCCACGUUGGACACCCUCAAGAGCCGUCUGGACAGGGCGCUGGGCCGUCUUGUCUAGGCUGGGCUCUUCCUAGAAAGGUUGGACUAGAUGGUCCCUGAGGUCCCUUCCAACCUGGGAUUCUGUGUGAUACUUGUUCAGCUUGGAAUGUAAUACACAUACGUGUAAUGGCUCAAGUUUUCUACAGAACCCAGGCUGAUUUGCAUCAGUGGAGAACUCGUCAAGGGAUUCAGUGAUGGAAAGCCUACAGUGAGAGGAAGAUGUCCUGAUGAAGAGCAGCCAUUCUCAAACCAGACAGAACUGGUAAGGCUAGAGAUGGGUCCUGGAUAGCUCGGAAGGCAAGGCAGCCAUCUGCUGUGGGCUGCCUCUACCAAAAAGCCUAUUGUGCUGGAUAUUUUUAUAAAUGUAAGCAUGAGAGCUGACGAAGUGGUAGCCACUGCGGGUAGCCUCUGAGGUCUUGAUUUGGCAAGGCGCUUAAACGGGCACUGAAAGCUGCAAACUGAAACGCAUGUGUCCUAGCAAGCUGGUAUGCUACGUCGAAUCGGGAAUACUAGGAUUUUCCAAGUAGCUUUCUUUGGUUAGUAUAACUUUACUUUAAAAGUCCUAUUUGCAUUAUAAAGCUUUGGUGGUUUAACAUAAAAAUAUAAUUUUUGGAAACACUAUAUUUAACUGCUGCUGAGCAUUCUUCAGAACGAUGCUACAGAACCGCUAGCACUGCCUGGCUAGAAUGCUAAGUGUAGCACUGAAAUAUUGUAGCUUAAUCGCUCAAAAGUUGCCCAUCUGUAGUUAUGAAAGAACAUAAUACUUAAAAAACGUGUAUUAUGCAAUUGAUAACCGCUUUCUGAUCGACCUCAAUAGCAAUUACGACACGAUUUCACUUGGACGCUGUUGUCAUUCACGUCCUGCGAUCGCUAUUCCAUUGGCUGGCUAUUUCUGCCUCAGAAAGAGUAGCAAAUGCUUCUGAGUACAUUCCUUUUAUUUUAGAAGUACAUCCUUUUGGGGAGUUAUCAAGUAUAAGAAACCUUCUUUAAACCAAGGGAAAUACGUUUUCCCCAAAUACUUCAAACAUUUACUCUGGAUUUUUAUUAUCUUCCCUUACUUGAAGUUAUAAACCAAGAUAGAAUGUCUACAGGAUAAAAACCUGUAUUGACUACCCAAGUAAAGCAAGGGGGGUGUGUGCGUAUAUGUAGUUGGAUAGAGGAAAUAUUGAGCACAGUCUCUUACUUCAUUGACAAGAUACUCCUUAAAAGAUUUACUGCUUUUCUGAAUUCAUUACAGGGCAUUUUAUCAUUGAAUUAAAAAAUAGAGUUUAGUCAAUACUAAACUAGUCCCUGAAAGUCUGAUCCAAUAAAUCUGUACUUUUAAAUCAGCUGGUGUUUUGGGUCUUGAUCCUCUCUUGCAUCAAACUAGAGAAUCUGGCCUUCCAUUUAUUAAUGAUAAAUUCACUUCAGCUCUGCAUUUCCUGUGAUAGAUUUCAUAGCCGUAAUUUUUUAAACAGUGUGUGCACAGACCCGUGCUAGAUCUGCACGCACAAUUACUGUGAGUACUUGCACUAAAACUACCCAGACUUAUAAAGCCUUCUGAGCACGUAUUUAUCUGAUCUGGUCCAUGCACAGAUCUUUCCAGAAGUCAGAAUCUGUAAAAUAUUAAUUACGAUUUAAUGAAUUUUUUUUUUUAAUUAAGAAUAUAGGUAAUCACUUGGCGAGACUUUAUCAAUUACUGUCACACGGUUCGCCCUUCGUAGAUUAUGGUUAAAUAUAAAUAUACAUAUUUCAUCUAGUCAUUCAUCUGAACGUAGGGCUUUGUUCUGAAGAUACACUGUACUCUCCCUUGUAAAACUUGAAGUAUCUGUGGUAUUAGGACUUUCUGAAAGGCAGCGGUGGACAUAUUUUUUGGAAGACCUAUUAUUAGGUCUGAAAAGUAAUACAUUAGGGUACACGUUUUGUGGAUGCUCCGAUGAUCCAUUUUUUGUUUCAUCCACAGAUUUAACCUUUUAUCUUGAUUUAGACUUGAGCUACGUGGCCAUUGGCAUGCUAGCCAAUUUUACCUCUUCGCAGUGGGAAUCUGGAACGGGCUUCUUGCUCUGACUUGACCUUCCUAAGAGGUAUUUCUUAAAAGACGUCCACCAUACUGCUUGUCCGUGAGGCCCUUGCUCAGUCUGCAAAGCUCUGGUACUUAUUGUCAAAGCCUUUAGAGCACCAUAGGAAAACAAUUUUGGUAUUUGCUUCUCUCACCAACUAAUAGUAAUCCUUUUACUGUCACCUGUCAAUAAGUGGGAAAAACAGUUUAUUCUUGGCCUUCACUUGAGAGUUGAAUGUCACUGUAAGUAUCGGUAGCCAAAGUCUCGUAGAUACAAUGGGAAAACUCUACGUCCGUGUCUUUCGCUAGCAUUUGUUUCCCAGGGAAAGCUGGGGGAACCUCCUUGUAACCGGCAAUACUAGACACCGGUUGCUCAAAACUGUGAAACCUGGCAAUAAACAUAAUUUCAUAAGACUGGGCAGCGACACUGAGUUAGGUCAGUUAUAAAGUACAGGGGAAGAGGGGAAUGAAAAGAACAGAAUAAGACGACUGUACGGUUGAGGAGUUCAAGGGACUAGAUUUAAACGUAUGAAUCCUGAGCUCUGCCAGCUUGUUUCAGAGACAGAAAAACAAAACAUGGGGUGGAACGUUGCUUUCUAGUAGCGUAGCCAGAGCUGCACCUCCGCAGGCGGCGGCAUUACUACUGAAAUGGUACGUUCUUCUUAAUCCGGAUGGAAGGACACUUGUUAGGGCUUUUUGCUGAAAUUGAAUCUGGCAUAAAAAAUGCUUGUCAUUCGUUUUCACCAGUUGUGUGCCCAUUCUGCCAGCAAAGCAUGAAGCUUUCGAUCGGUCGCUGUUUCUCGCUGGUGUAGCAUCAAUACAAUACAGACUCUCUACGAGCUUGAAACAUUCAGCUACUCAAGUAAUGCAGAAUCUGAUUCCACACAAUGUUUUCUUCAGAAUUCAGGAAUGGGAUCGCUUGGCAAUAUUUUAGCCGUAGGUAUUCCCUAAAUCAGAAAUGCGUCAAACCACAGGUGAUGUGAUAUUUGUGUUUCUAAAGUGUUUUUGUCUAAGGACGAUGAGGUGCAACAUGUCCGAUCUGUUGGGAGUGAGGUACUGCCUUCCUGUAUCGUAGAUUAGGAAGGUCUAAUCUGAUGUUGAACAAACGUGCUAAUUGCUAAUAUUCGAUGGAGCCGUAUUUCAGUUCCAGUGAUAAGGUUGUUAGCGCUACCGUAAUCGUUCACGGUAUGACAAAUGUUUUGCAAGUAGGUGGAGCAAAUAGAUUAUUGUGUAAAACAGACAAAAGUGAUCAAUCAGGCAUGGCAGAUCACUCAAGCCCAUUAAAUAGGGCAAUUUAACACUUUUUUUUUUUUUAAAAUAGAUCUCAUCUUACAUUUAAAGGUGCCCCCUCCCUUGUUUUUUAAAGUGUAAAAAGUGCCUCUGAUGGCCUCUGAAGCAGACCUACAGGUUGAUGCAUCUCCUACAGUUCUACAUCAUACCUGAGCGUGACAACAUGGAAAACAAGUGGCUGGAAUUCUCUAGAACAUAAUGUCUCGGAAAGAGAAAUGUACGGAGAAAACGAGGAAGGACUUACUCUUUUUCCGGGUGGACCCGGUGGGCCAGCUUCGCCUGAAGGGCCUGGGGGACCCUGCAGUGGAAAAUGGUAAGCUCAGCGGUGAGGAAGGAUAAAGCUCCGUAUUAAAUGCAACAGAUACCUGCAAUCCGUUGGCCCCUUUCAAUGGACAGGCAGUAAGUACCAUAAACACAGAGGAGCACACCUGCUUAUUCAACGAGUCCUUUCUUAGGGCGGCCUUUCGAAAUUCUGAACGCCUUUCGUUAGUGUACAAAAUGCAACCAUUCUUUUUUUCUCUUCCCAUAUGCAACAGAAGUUUCAGACCAGAAGGUGGCCGCGCACAGGUGACACAUGGUCAUCGCCUACUGCCUAAACUCCAUUAGGAAGUUUUUUGCUUUCUCAGGGGCUGAAGUGAUGCAGAUGGGGGUGAAAAAUGUUAGCAAAAGUGAGUUAGCCGCCCCGUGGGUGGCCUUCUCGUAAAACCUCUGCGCUGACAGCCAUGUGGGCACCCCGUCCUGGUAAGCUGUGAUACUCUUAAAUGUUCCAGGGUUGCUGACCGGUUUGAUAAGCUUUUCUUCAGCAACAAAACACCCUGAAAGUAGGUACUGCUCGGGAAGACGCGCAGAUACUGAUUUCCUGAAGUUUGCAGGCAAAUCCCAGUUUAUAACUUGCUUCCAACCAUACGUUCGAUGUACUAAGAUUUUCAAACUCCUGUACAGGAUAAUUCCGUGAUAACCAGAACUUCCAGAGCCAGAAUGAGACUUUCCAAAAUGGAAACCCUAUCUUUUUGCAAUAAAAAAUUAAUGGUAUUUUAAUAGGGGAAUUACAGAACUGUAAGAACUUUGCUGCUUCAUAUGGGUUUUGCUCAGAUUCUUCUUAACUUUCUUAAAGCAGAAACAUCAAGGCUUCAUUUCAUCAGGUCAGCUAGUGAAGAUUAUUUGGCUGCAGCAUUCCUUUCUUAUGCUCAGAGUCGCUUGAUUUUUAGUGCUCCUAAGCAGCUCCAGCACAAAUCCUUAAUACAUCAUUUGUUUCUACUUCUAGAAGAAACUGAGCUCUUGCUUCUGAUUGUGACUAUAAUAUGGGCAGUUCUAGCUCUUCAAGGAAAUAGAUCUUUUUCAGUAUAAUAGGAAAA